rnacentral:lncRNA from 1 species
AUUCACAGUUUACAGAUGAAGAUAAGACUUUAAUGGGCUUCCACUGUAGAAACAGCUCAUCUGGGGCCUGACCUUCGCUCCCUGAGUCACCUAGAAGUAAGCUCAUUUCUCCAACUGGAGGAGCCAGUCUUUGGGUAUGUUGUCUGCUGACCACCUCCUGACUAGCUGGUCAGAGAAGCAGCAGUAACAGGAGCUGCUCUCAGGAUGAGGAAGAUGAUGGAUCCUGGAGGUCUUGGUGAACUUUUUGGGAUCUCGGUUUCUCACUUAAGAUGUCCUAGAAGAAAAGCAGUGGGAAAUAAUGGUCAAGACUGCUAUGCCCAGCUUUUCUUUGCUUGUUAUCAGAUGAAGAUGAACAGCGCAGAACUGUGAAUAAAUUGUAUAAUUGGAUAAAGUCAUCUUGCCUGCCUCCUGGCUGCUCUGUCCCCUUCUGAAGACCCACGUUGCCUUUCUGCUCUCCAACUCUCCUCCUCCAUCAAAACAAAAAAGAGUGUGAUAUCCUCAUUUAUAGCUAAAACUGAUUCAGGUACUUGUGUGUAAGCUCCUUAUCUCUAAUUGUGGAAUGAAAGGAUUUAUCAACAUUUUAAAAUUUUGUUUUUCUUUCAGAGUUGGUGGAAGGGAAAUUCUAGAUUAAAUGCUAACCCUGAAGGCAAAACAAUUUUCGUCAUAUUAAGGUGCUGUAUGUUAGGGGACGGUGAAGUUGUGGUGAG